ensembl:lncRNA
AACCAAAUAGGACCAUGGGCCUGAGAACAUGGUGACUCCAGCCUUGUGAGAGGAAUCAGAGGACCCAGACGAGUUACACUGUAACCAGACUUCGGAACCAGCCAGGGAGUGAACCCAUGUCCCCUGCAUUGCAAGGUGGAUUCUUAACCACUGGAACCACCUGGUCCUUCUGGAAUAGGAUGAGACCAGAAAUAGAAAGGCAUGACAUUUGAUGCUUCAAAGUGUUUCCAAGAGCUCAACUACUCGGAGACUAGUAGCUGCACAGUGUCGGCUAGGGGUUCUUUGGGAGUUGGGUAUUUUCAGAGGGACCUGGACCAUGCUUGCACGACAAUACGCCAUGGAGGGGAUCUUCCCGACCCAGGGAUCGAACCCACGUCUCUUGCAUCUCUUGCACUGGCAGGCGGAUUCUUUACCACUGCACCACCUGGGAAUCCCUGAGAAAAAUGCCAAAGCAGAUACGCAGCUGGGCAGUGGAGGAGUGGCUCUGUUCCAUGGGGGAGACUGGGUUAUUUCAGAUGACCUCUCUGCACCCCUGAACACCAUGAGAGACUUUAGCUACCUCGCUCAGGUUCAUCUGGCCCUGAUCCCCAGACCACCUGUAGGUAUUCUCAUGACCCUGACUGUAGUCCAUAGCUUAACAGAGAGAUUCAGGGGAAAUCAGUGCCGCCAACUACAUCCAUUUUGAUCUGCUCCUAAGCCCUCCACUGGGAACAUCACCAAUAUGGCAAACAUCUUGAAAAGGUCCAUUUCUGUGCCUCCUUGCCGAGGGUUUCCAGGGUCUCGGGGUCCAUCGAAAGUGACGAGUUGUUUUGAGUUGUGUCCAGUAUUUUCACAGUAUGUUUCUUCGCCACAAAGAUUUUUGCCCUGAACAUUUUCACUGCAUAAGUAAUUGGCCAUAAAGCAAUUGCGUCAUAAGAGGAAAAAUAACUGGCUGACAGUUUGGUUUGAAGUAUACAGUACAAAGAUCACGACAGAUAACAGUGAUUUGUCCUGAGAGUUGAUUUCUUUAUUUUGAAACACUGGAGGAGAAAGAGGCCUUGAGGGCACAGGGUCGAGCCCUCAUUUUCCAUAGAACUUUGGAACAUUUCUCCGUGGACACACGACAAUAUGCCAAGGACAUACAAUGGUGUAGAGGCUUUCACAGCUCAAUAAAGCUCAGUUGCAAACAUGCAUCCUGUGUUG